GUCCUCUUCCCCCUUUUCAGUGAGUGUAAGUCUCUAGGGUGAGAGAGUACUGAACGUAACUACUUUUAAACCCAGGCAUGUGGUACGAAAUUUGUAUUCAUUUGUUAAACAGUUUUUGAGCCAAAAGUCAGCUGCCAUUCUAGGAUCUGAGAAAUAAGUUGAAUAAGGAGCUUCUGUGACCUUCAGGAAUACAUGGUCCAGUGGAUUAGAGUGGAUGAUGGAGUCCCACAAAUCUGAGUUUGAUUCCCAGCUUUCUCAUUUUCUAGCUUUAUUAUAUUGUGCAGGUUCCUUAAUCACACCAAGCCUCUUCUUCAUCUAUAAAAUAGAGAAAGUAAUACCUCAUGCAAUUGUUGUGAGGCUUAAAUAAAAUAAAAGUUUAGCAUAGUUCCUGGCACAUAGUAAUAGCCCAAUCAAUGUAAAUUGCUAUUAUGGUUGUGGAGGAGGUGAGUAGGCAAAUGUAUUAGAUAACAUUGUAAUAGAAGCAUGAGCAAUGGGUUGUGGGAUGUACCAUGGAAAGAUUCAGAAAAGUGGUUGCAUUUGAGCUGGGCCUUUAAAUAUAAGUAAGAAUUUAUGAGGUAGAGAUGAGAAAAAAUAAUUGUAAGCAGAAAAACUGUGAAUAAAGGUCCAGGAGUUUGAAUAUUGGGGAACUAUUCAGAAAUAACUUGAUUUGAAAUUUGGGGCAGUUACCUUUCAUAUUCCUUGUGUUGGCUGCCUCAACAAGUGCUCUGGUUCGGCUGUGUUCUUCCUGGGACUUCAGUGCCCUUCCUUUCAACCUGUCUGUACUUGGCUUUCUUUUCCAAGGGUCAGCCCAAUCCUCAACUGUUGGAGACCUCCCUGAUUUCUGCUUUUCCCAUUUCUUGUAGCACUUAAUUUCUUACUACAUGGUUUAGCAGUAAUUACAUGAUGUCCUGUUAUUUAAUUACCUCAUUUGUGUAAGUCUAGUCUCCCCAGUUCUCCAGGGCAGAGAUAGCAUUUUCCCAUUUUGUGUCCUAUAUGGGGCUGACAUAAACUAAGUCCACAGAAUAGGUUCAAGCAAUGCCUGUUGACGACCAGAUACCUUGUGCUGAUGGUGAUAUAGCCACGUGUACCAGAGCCCAAUUAUGGGAUUUACUGAUUUGAAUGGAAAUGUCUUCACUCCACAUCCACACAUUAUUGAGUGUUCUCUCUGUUUGAAGCUAGUUAAAAGGUUUUGAAGGAGAGGAUCUGAGAAGACACAUGUGUAAGGUGCUUGUUGCCAGGUAUAAAAUGGCAUUAUGGCAUCUUGUCGCCAGAGAACAAGGGAUAGAUGUCAGGGGCAGCUGGCCUCCUCACUGGCAUACCAGGAGCACUGUCAGGAAAGGCAACUUUGUUUCCUUGAGCUUUGGAUUUGCCUGAACCGCCCAGGUUCCAAACCAUCAGCCAUUCUCUUCUAUUCCCCAAACUGUGGUUGGAUUGUGGCACAGAGUCAGGUUGAUUCAAUUCCUCUUCAAAGCACUAUUGGAACAAGGAGAGACCCAGACCUAGGCAUGGAAGUUGGGAAGACUCCGAAGCAGCUGCAUCUACAAUGACCAACCUGAAUGGUGAGGAAAAUCCUGACUCGGGAUGGUAAACUUGCUCUGGAUCACACAGAUGGUGCUAACGUAGUUGGGAUUUGAACCCACACGUUAGGGCCCAACAUCUACCUUCUUAAUUCCUGCACCGGGUCUAAGAAUUAAGUGCGGACUUCCAUCUUUGGUGCACAUUCCAGCUUUGCUACUUGUCGCUGAUGCUUAUCCUCUAGACUGGAGGAACCCAGGUAUACCUUUGCCCUGGUCAGACGUGCUCUCCAGUGGCGACUGCCUGUAGAAGUGGCCAGAGUUGCCUGGUUUGGGCUCCCGUCCACGCGACCAACCAGGCGCCGCCUUGCAGCCCAGUGCGGUGCAGUGCGACGGGUGCUGCUGCUGCCACCGCAGCUGUGAAAUCUGGAGGCAUCCCACCCGGGAGCCGCCCCGGGUUGGGCAGG